UACGAGGGGGGCGAGCGUUAUUCGGAAUCACUGGGCGUAAAGCGUGCGUAGGCUGUUUCACAAGUUGGAAGUGAAAGCCCAAGGCUUAACCUUGGAAUUGCUUUCAAAACUGUGGGACUUGAAUUCGGGAGAGGAUAGCGGAAUUUCCAGUGUAGCAGUGAAAUGCGUAGAUAUUGGAAGGAACACCAAUGGCGUAAGCAGCUAUCUGGACCGACAUUGACGCUGAGGCACGAAAGCGUGGGGAUCAAACAGGAUUAGAUACCCUUGUAGU
rnacentral:rRNA from 1 species